GGCUUUUGUUGGGUUGGAUGAGUGGCGAACGGGUGAGUAACACGUGAGUGACCUGCCCUCUUCUUUGGGAUAACGCCCGGAAACGGGUGCUAAUACUGGAUAUUCACUGGCCUUCGCAUGGGGGUUGGUGGAAAGGUUUGUUCUGGUGGGGGAUGGGCUCGCGGCCUAUCAGCUUGUUGGUGGGGUGAUGGCCUACCAAGGCUUUGACGGGUAGCCGGCCUGAGAGGGUGACCGGUCACAUUGGGACUGAGAUACGGCCCAGACUCCUACGGGAGGCAGCAGUGGGGAAUAUUGCACAAUGGGCGAAAGCCUGAUGCAGCGACGCCGCGUGAGGGAUGGAGGCCUUCGGGUUGUAAACCUCUUUCGCUCAUGGUCAAGCCGCAACUGUGGGUUGUGGUGAGGGUAGUGGGUAAAGAAGCGCCGGCUAACUACGUGCCAGCAGCCGCGGUAAUACGUAGGGCGCGAGCGCUGUCCGGAAUUAUUGGGCGUAAAGGGCUUGUAGGCGGUUGGUCGCGUCUGCCGUGAAAUCCUCUGGCUUAACUGGGGGCGUGCGGUGGGUACGGGCUGACUUGAGUGCGGUAGGGGAGACUGGAACUCCUGGUGUAGCGGUGGAAUGCGCAGAUAUCAGGAAGAACACCGGUGGCGAAGGC
rnacentral:rRNA from 1 species